UACGAAGGGGGCUAGCGUUGUUCGGAAUCACUGGGUGUAAAGGGCGCGUAGGCGGCUUUAUAAGUCGGGGGUGAAAGCCUGUGGCUCAACCACAGAAUUGCCUUCGAUACUGUAGAGCUUGAGACCGGAAGAGGUAAGUGGAACUGCGAGUGUAGAGGUGAAAUUCGUAGAUAUUCGCAAGAACACCAGUGGCGAAGGCGGCUUACUGGUCCGGUUCUGACGCUGAGGCGCGAAAGCGUGGGGAGCAAACAGG
rnacentral:rRNA from 1 species